AGGGUUAUGCAGUGUAAAAUAAUAAUAAUUACAUGAGAAUUAACGUAUUUAUUUUCCAUCCUUUGCAGUGAUAUUUGGUCCUUGGGYUGUGUGCUGUAUGAGUUGUGUARGCUUCAGGGUGCAUUCACUGCAGAGAACACAUUGAAGCUCAUUGAAAAAAUAUUGGGGGGUCCUUACCCAUCUCUACCAAAGAGCUUCUCACCGGAGCUCCGCGACCUCCUGUGUGACAUCUUCCAACAAGARCCGACCAUUAGGCCUUCAGCUGGUGAAAUCAUGGCGAAACCCUUCAUUAUCAGUUUCCUCACAAAAAAGAGUGAGAAAACUGUGGAGGAACUCCAGACAACCUUGGACAAGCUGAGAACUCUGGCAGACGGCUUGGAGAGUAUGCACAAAGGCACCACCAUAGGCAGUCUGACGGGGGGUGUUA